UGAAUAGGUAAACAAAAGAAGUGCAAUGGACAACGCCCAGAACACUCCUCGAGAUGUCAAUGCCCCCAUCUCCCCGAACCAAUUACAGGAGGAACCAGAAUUUUCCAACAGGGCAAAGUCCAUUGAGUCCGAGGACACCGACUUGGAGCUUGACUUCGCGAAGUUGGACAUGAUGCUGAUGACCACCUACAACAUGGAGCUGGCCGACAUUCAGAAGUCUCCAGACUCGGUGGCCAAGGAACAAGCAAUAUGGCAGCCGGAGAUCGACAAGCUGCUCGCUGACCACUUAGCUCAAAGCCAGGAACACUGAAAAGGAGUCUGAGUUUUCUGCAGCCCUGCAGAAGCUCCAGGAUCUGGAGGCUCUGAAGAGUUCCGAGGUCGCCAAGCUGGAAACCAGUUUGAGCGACAUCCAAAAGAAGCUGCUAAAUGAGAGGGUGAGGAGGAUGAACGGGGAGAACCGCAUCCAGAUGCUGAAAGAAGAGCUGGAGUUCCAGAAGAACCUUCAUUCUGAGAAGUCUCUUAUGGUGAAGUUGGACAACAGCCACCAGCAGGACAAUGGGAAUAAAAUGGCAGACAGACUGAACGAACGGCAGAUUAAACUCUACAAAGAGGAGAUUGAAGAAACCUACAGCACUAAGUUAAAAGUACUGCAAUCAUGCAAUAUAAGCACUCCCGAUCUCUGCACAACAACACCAAGAGGCAACGCCCCAACGACAUGGACAGUGACAAGGUUGAGCUGGAUGGGAAGUGCGUGA
rnacentral:lncRNA from 1 species